rnacentral:sRNA from 1 species
GGCUGCCUACCUCCGGCGGUAGUAGACGAGUUAAUAA